rfam:Salinivibrio sp. KP-1 scf7180000001583, whole genome shotgun sequence.
CGAGUUGGCCGGGUAACCGCUGCUUUAUUGAUGUCCCACGGGAGACUGAUGAAGGGGAGGAAAGUCCGGGCUCCGCAGGGCAGGGUGCCAGGUAACGCCUGGGAGGCGCGAGCCUACGACCAGUGCAGCAGAGAGUAGACCGCCGAUGGCUUUUCGGAGCACAGGUAAGGGUGAAAGGGUGCGGUAAGAGCGCACCGCGCGACUGGCAACAGUUCGUGGCACGGUAAACUCCACCCGGAGCAAGACCAAAUAGGUCCCUAUUGGCGCGGCCCGCGUUUGGGGACGGGUAGGUUGCUGGAGCCUGUGAGCAAUUGCAGGCCUAGACGAAUGGUUACCACCGUUUUUACGGUACAGAACCCGGCUUACAGGCCAACUCACCUC